rnacentral:rRNA from 1 species
GACGAACGCUGGCGGCGUGCUUAACACAUGCAAGUCGAACGGAAAGGCCCUGCUUUUGUGGGGUGCUCGAGUGGCGAACGGGUGAGUAACACGUGAGUAACCUGCCCUUGACUUUGGGAUAACUUCAAGAAACUGGGGCUAAUACCGGAUAGGAGCUCCUGCUGCAUGGUGGGGGUUGGAAAGUUUCGGCGGUUGGGGAUGGACUCGCGGCUUAUCAGCUUGUUGGUGGGGUAGUGGCUUACCAAGGCUUUGACGGGUAGCCGGCCUGAGAGGGUGACCGGCCACAUUGGGACUGAGAUACGGCCCAGACUCCUACGGGAGGCAGCAGUGGGGAAUAUUGCACAAUGGGCGGAAGCCUGAUGCAGCAACGCCGCGUGCGGGAUGACGGCCUUCGGGUUGUAAACCGCUUUCGCCUGUGACGAAGCGUGAGUGACGGUAAUGGGUAAAGAAGCACCGGCUAACUACGUGCCAGCAGCCGCGGUGAUACGUAGGGUGCGAGCGUUGUCCGGAUUUAUUGGGCGUAAAGGGCUCGUAGGUGGUUGAUCGCGUCGGAAGUGUAAUCUUGGGGCUUAACCCUGAGCGUGCUUUCGAUACGGGUUGACUUGAGGAAGGUAGGGGAGAAUGGAAUUCCUGGUGGAGCGGUGGAAUGCGCAGAUAUCAGGAGGAGCACCAGUGGCGAAGGCGGUUCUCUGGGCCUUUCCUGACGCUGAGGAGCGAAAGCGUGGGGAGCGAACAGGCUUAGAUACCCUGGUAGUCCACGCUGUAAACGGUGGGUACUAGGUGUGGGGUCCAUUCCACGGGUUCCGUGCCGUAGCUAACGCUUUAAGUACCCCGCCUGGGGAGUACGGCCGCAAGGCUAAAACUCAAAGGAAUUGACGGGGCCCCGCACAAGCGGCGGAGCAUGCGGAUUAAUUCGAUGCAACGCGUAGAACCUUACCUGGGUUUGACAUGGAUCGGGAGUGCUCAGAGAUGGGUGUGCCUCUUUUGGGGUCGGUUCACAGGUGGUGCAUGGCUGUCGUCAGCUCGUGUCGUGAGAUGUUGGGUUAAGUCCCGCAACGAGCGCAACCCUUGUUCACUGUUGCCAGCACGUUAUGGUGGGGACUCAGUGGAGACCGCCGGGGUCAACUCGGAGGAAGGUGGGGAUGACGUCAAGUCAUCAUGCCCCUUAUGUCCAGGGCUUCACGCAUGCUACAAUGGCUGGUACAGAGAGUGGCGAGCCUGUGAGGGUGAGCGAAUCUCGGAAAGCCGGUCUCAGUUCGGAUUGGGGUCUGCAACUCGACCUCAUGAAGUCGGAGUCGCUAGUAAUCGCAGAUCAGCAACGCUGCGGUGAAUACGUUCCCGGG